rnacentral:antisense_RNA from 1 species
UUUGGCAUUGGGAUUGUUCUUGAUAAUGCCAUUGCCAACAGCGUGCAGCAGGUGGGUUUUACCCAGACCGGUACCACCAUA